GAUGAAGAACGCAGCGAAAUGCGAUAAGUAAUGUGAAUUGCAGAAUUCAGUGAAUCAUCGAAUCUUUGAACGCACAUUGCGCCCGCCAGUAUUCUGGCGGGCAUGCCUGUUCGAGCGUCAUUUCAACCAUCAAGCCCCCGGGCUUGUGUUGGGGACCUGCGGCUGCCCGCAGGCCCUGAAAACCAGUGGCGGGCUCGCUGUCACACCGAGCGUAGUAGCAUAUCAUCUCGCUCUGGGCGUGCUGCGGGUUCCGGCCGUUAAAGCCUUUUUUUUUUACCCAAGGUUGACCUCGGAUCAGGUAGGAAGACCCGCUGAACUUAAGCAUAUCAAUAAGCGGAGGA
rnacentral:misc_RNA from 1 species